rnacentral:misc_RNA from 1 species
GAACGCACCUUGCGCUCCUUGGUAUUCCGAGGAGCAUGCCUGUUUGAGUGUCAUUAAAUUCUCAACCCCUCCAGCUUUUGCGAGUUGUGAUGGGGCUUGGAUAUGGGAGUUUGCGGGUCCUUUAUCAGUAAAGGUCGGCUCUCCUGAAAUACAUUAGCGGAACCGUUUGCAGUCCCGUCACUAGUGUGAUAAUUAUCUACACUGUGAUGAUUGCUCUCUGACUAGUUCAGCUGCUAAUCGUCCGGUAUGGACAACAUUUAAUGAACUUCUUGACCUCAAAUCAGGUAGGACUACCCGCUGAACUUAAG